GAUCGUCUUGGCCGAGUGAUUUAUUGCUCCAGUUUCUCCAAGACACUGUCGCCAGGUGUGCGUAUCGGCUGGAUGAUUGC
rnacentral:tRNA from 1 species